rnacentral:lncRNA from 1 species
CUGGCCUGAGCAGGGAGCAGCCAGCAGAUUUUCUGUCCCAUUUCUGUAUAUUUUGCACAUCAGAGGCAUUUUUGGGGUAGCAUGCCUGUGAAGGAAACAAGCUAGGAUGAAAGCAAAGCCUUGCAGGAGCUGACAGCUUCUCUGGAGAUGAUGUAUGGUCAAGAUUCUGAAGCAGAUGACUCAGGAGAUUUUCAACAGUUCUUUGAGUGGAUGGGUGUUAAAACAAAGAAAUUAAUUUGUGUCAGAAAUAAUAUGGACACAACUCUGCAAAUUCUUGCUGACUGGUUCAGUGACAUCUCAAAGGACUCAGUCUACCUGGAAAGACUGUCAGCUGCUCCUUCUCCAUUCCUGCAGACCAGCUCCCUCAAUCUCCUUCUUGUCACUAUUACCCGUAAAUAUUCUAUUUGUGUCUGCACAGCCUCCCUGCCCGUGUGAGGUGUGCAUAAUCACAAGGGUGUGCCCUCUCAUGGGGAAUCAGUUUUUGCUCUUGCAUUUCAUUGUACCCAGAGCAUUUACUGUAGCCUGAUGCAGCAAUUUAGACUUGGUGCAUGUCAUGCAGAGUAUAAAGUUAAUGAAUGUAAUUACUUACAGCUGUUUAUAAUCAUGUUGGUUAUUAGAGGGGAGCAAACAAACAUGCAGGUGGGUUUCUGUGAUUGAAAUUCUGAGGGGUAUUCUGGAUGUAGAAUCAGCCAUGUAAGCAUGGCUGAAGUUUGUUAGUAUAGUAACAACUUUGGUUUACCUAUUUCAAAUCUGAAUUUUUCUGCAAAACCUUCAUAGGUACAGGAAGCGUACACAAAUUUGGUAUGGAUUGGUAUAGCACUAGUUGGUAGAUCAAGGAAGAAAUUUUCGUGUAUUCUUUGUCACUUCAACUUUUGCUAUGCAGUUUUUCUGUUGCAAUUUAACUUCUACCUCCUUUAAAAAAGGGUGAGCAAUUGUAUAGAGGAAAUGCUCCUUUGAAGUGUUUCCCUUCUCUUUAUUUUAAACACAUACUCCUCUCCCUCUUUUUCUGAAACAAAAUUCAUCUACUGUAACAUCUGUGAGAAUCUAUGCAAUAGGAAGUGCAUAGGUUUGGGUCAGUGACAGACAGGGACAAUUUCAGAGCCUGUG